rnacentral:lncRNA from 1 species
CUAUAUAUUUGUUCUCAUAAACUUCAGCAAGACCAUUUGGAACAUCUCUUCGCUGCAAUCAGACAAAGGAAUAAAUGGUGUUUCAAUCCAAGUCUGAUAAAAUUUAGAUUUGUCUUUAGAAAAAAUUUCUACCAUGCUUGUAGAGGAAUCAUUGAAAAUAUCAAUGGGAACUGUAUUCCACAGGAUGAAACUAUUUUUUUAACUUGUGGGCAAUGUUAUUGAUGAACAACGUCAGAUCAUUGCAAUAAACGAUCAAAACGACUCUACAGACACAUUUUGAAUUAAACUGCGGAAAUGACGAAGUAAAUCUUAAAACAUCUCACUUAAGAGGGUGAAAUACUUCAGACUGCAGAAUAUGUAGCGCAUCAAUUACAUACAUUGCCGGCUAUUAUGUAUAUGUAUUGCAAAAAAGUAUUAAAUGUGUAAUUUGCAAAAGAGCAUUAUUUCAUAAUGAAGAAGAUCCUUGUCCUGACACAUCUUUAAUUUCAUUUAAAAAUUAUUACAGUGAUAAUCCGAAUAGAGGACUGAUUAGUCGACUUCUUUUUCUGUGUGAAAAAAUAUUCCGUCAGCACAAUGGCUCACUUGGCAGCAUUAACAUUCCAGAAAAAUUGUUUAUAGAAGUCCUUAAUAAUAUCAAUAUGUCAACCAUCUUCGAAGGAUUAUCAAGACAUAACUUAAAAACGUCUGAAGGAAUUGAUCAUCAUUAUAUCACCAUUAUUAAUUUGGUUUCAAAAAAAUAUAUUUUUCUUUGCAUGAAAAAAGUAUUGUCAGACAUAAUAUCCAGCAAUAAAAUUAAAAAAGAUGGAAGUGCCCUUAACAGAUAUAGGAUUAGGAUUUUUCAAAAUGCUUAGUUCCAAGAUGAAGAUAUUUUUUUGAAAUCAAAAUAUAAUUGUAAUUUAAAAAAAUAUAAAGUUAGUAAUCAUCA